GGGAGGAUCAAAUAGCAUACGUGACCCAGCAUGAUUUUAUCUUAUGUAUAGAGAGACUGGGGACAGAGCUCUUUUUAGAUCAUAAGAAAAUUAAAUAUCUAGGAAAUGGAGCUUUCUCUCCAACCAUUCUGGCCCUAGGUGAGAACCCUGGUGGUAACUGCCAGAGACCCUGCUCUUUCAGGAUCUGGCCCUCUGAGCAUAGAAACCCUGCUAUCAGAAAACAAGGUCCAAUGACACUGCUUGCCUUUUCAUGAGCUUCUGAGUUCUCUCUUCCUCCUCGGUGUCUGAAGACCCCCUACCCUAGUUGAGAGCCUAAGGUUGACCUCAAGCAGCUAAAUCAAGGCCAAAAAACCCCCAAACCCAGUGCUGCAGUAUCAAGCACGUGGGUUACAUCUACAGUAGGCAAAAGUCAACACCCCAAGAAAGACUGUGAAAAGCAGCAAUAUUCUAAUGGGAAGCAUCCAACAAGUGAGUCCUCCAAGCCUGGCUCCAGUGUAUUAGAAGUCCUUACACCUUGAUCUGGAGAUCAAACAGACUUUCCAGGCUAGAUUUUGGUGGAAACCAAAUAAAGGUUGCCUGUAAACAGACUCCUUUCCAAGCAUUUGAUUUUGUGGGAACCAUAUUCAAAGCCUCAAAAGCCUGGAUUUCAAAGCGCCAAGUGAAGACAAACUUCAGAGUUUUGAUGUUGAAUUCAAGUCUCUGUGACUGGAGUUCCAUAUCUAGUCUGAAAAGAUUGACCCUGAAGCAUUCACAGGUUAUUUUUUGUACCUUGCUAACAUUUCCCUUGUUAGGCAAUGUAAAUGUCAUAGCACUUGCCAUUAAAUCCACUGUCUGGAGACACAAUCUUGUUUAUGAUGAUGAUAGACCAAACCUUGUAAGAAAAUCUGUCAGCCAGGAGCUGAUAAUUUUUCAUCUUGAAAUCACUUAAAUUAAUUUAGCUAGAUUUUGAAUGUACCUGGCUAACACCAUGGUUCAAUGGA